rnacentral:lncRNA from 9 species
GGGAGCUGCCGCCAGUGCCGAGUGCCGCCGUCGGGCUUGUCCUCACCAAGCCUCCGGCGAAAGCUGUGAAGGGUCGUGUUUGGCUCUUUUGCUCUUGGGGAUCUGGGGCCUUUGGGCUUUAUUGCCUUGGCUGUGCUGUGCUGUAGCUGCGUCACCUUCCAUCUCUCAGGAGUACCACUGUGUCUUCUAGAGGUUUCUGGGCUCAGGGAAGGGAAAGAACCAAGGAAGGCCCAGCCCAGACGAAGCCUUUUCUCAGGCUGCUCGGUCUGCACUGCGGCCCUGGCCUCACGGGAGGCACCUUAGUUGCUUCUGGAGCUUGAGCCUGGCCCUUGCCCUGUCCCAGCCCAGAACUGCGAGCCUGAGCCUGCUUGUCUCAUUCCCCUGCUGAGGGAGGGAGACAGUGCUCCGAAAGGGGUUCUUGGUUCUGACCCAAACAGUUCUGCUGCUCUGGAAAUGAAUCGUGGAUCAGGAGAGGCGUUGUAGGCGCUUGAAAAGCUGCCUUUCCGCUUGUGGUUUAUGAGCAAAGCCAGCCUUCUCUCUGGCCAGCCUCUCCCCUCCCUCACAGACACCUCAGGGCUUGAGGACUUUGGUUGGGGUGGGGGUCAGUGGCGAGACACACUCCUUUCCUUGACCUCCUGUCACCCCGUGAGCCUUGAGUCCUUCACCUCACCAGCUCCCUUGGCUGGGGCCCUGACCCCGAGCCCAUGCUGAUGGCCGCACCCAGGUUCAGCCAGGUUCCCGGGGUAGCGUUUCUCCCCGACCUCGGCAGCCUUGUCUGGUCAGGCAGGGUGCACACUGCACCCUUACUUUGCAGAGGGGACACCGAAUGCCGCUUGUCCCCUCGCCCACUUAGUGUGGUGGCUUCUCAAAUGGCUCCUGACCAGGGCCUAACUCUGUGCAUCUCCCAGGAACCCAGGGUGGCUCUGGCUGUCUCAUGGGCUGCCUCCAACUGCCAUAGGGCCUCCCCUCCAGGGCCUUGAGGCGGCACAGGGAAUGCUUGGCGGGGCUGGGGCGUGCCCUCUGCCCCUCUUGUCUUCUGGUGAGUCAGGAGCCACAUGCCUUGGGCAGGCUUCCUUUACUUCAGCCGAGCAGCAUUUAUUCUGUUUCCCCAAAGUUUCUGUGAACUCAGGCCAGGUCUCCGGAGGUGGCCCUAAUUAGGGGAGGGACCUCCAGGGAUAGUGAGGCAGGAGGGAAGGUACUGGUGCCUGGCUCAGCCUGUUAGCCCCCGGCCCAGGCCCCCUGAUGUGCCUGCCCAGCCGUAUUCCUAGACAGCGGCCUCUGAGACUUGCUUUUUCUCACCCAUUCCGUGCAGAACUCACUGGACAGGAGGCAGGAGGCAGGAGGCAGCCAGUCUAGACCUGAAGCCCUCAGCUGUUCCAGGAGGGGCUUCCCUCACAAAGAGGAAGGGGGCCCUGCUCAGUUGCGGGCUGGGGGGUUCAGGAAGCAAGGCCAAGUGUAGUUGUGGGUAGAAAACCUUUCCCUACUUCACAGGAGCGCACGUGACAUUGGGCGCCUGGCUGUAGCUUGCUCGCACUCUGGCCUGGUGAUGGCCAAGGUAGUUUUUAGAAAUCUACUUAAAAUACCUAUCUGUUAUCUAUUUACGGUGUUUUUUCUGACUACGCAAAUGUAAAUAAUAUAAUCUGCAGUGCAAAGUCCUUGGCAAUAACUGUUGUAUAUUAUGUUAAAAACACUGGAGAAUGCGACCACCGUGGAUUGUCCUUCCCUCUCUGGGGCAACGAUUCCCUGUAGGACUCUGAACUUGCAACCUUCGGCGUGGCUGAAGCAGCAGCCUGCAUGUGUGGACUGUCACCAGUGCCUCGCCCAGAGAUGCCUGGCCUUCAUCCAGUGGGACUCUCUGCCACCCCGACUCCCACAGGCAGCGCCCACACUGUGGCUCUUUCACACCAUGUUGGACUCUGCAAUAGACUGGCCCUCUUGUCUGGCUGCUGCAAUUUGUCUGUAAUGCCCUGACAUGUUGCAUUUUCCCCAUUUGGAUGACUACAAAUAAAAGCUUCUGUCUUAAACAGC